ensembl:lncRNA
UUCCAUUAUUUCCGUUAUUUCCUUUAUUUUCAAUGUAGUUCUUGGCCUGUCACCUAAUUUUCUGCCGUAUUUUUCUGUCUCUCUGUAGGUUAUUUCUGUUAUUUUCGAUAUUUUCGUUAUGAUUUACGUUAUUUCCGUUAUGAUGUCUGUUAUUUCCGUUAUUAUUUCCUUUUUUUUUUUAGUUAUUUCCGUUUUUUUCUGUUAUUUCCGUUGUUGUUCUUGACCAGUCACCUUAUUUUCUGCCGUAUGUUUCUGUCUCUCUGGAGGUUCUUUCCGUUAUUUCCGUUAUUUCCGUAUUUCCAUUAUUUCCGUUAUUUCUGUUAUUUCCAUUGUUGUUCUUGAGCUGUCACGUAAUUUUCUGCUGUACAUUUCUGUCUCUCUGGAAGUUAUUUCCGUUAUUUCCGUUAUUUCCGUUAUUUCCGUUAUUUCCAAUGUUGUUCUUGGCCUGUCACCUAAUUUUCUGCCGUAUGUUUACGACUCUCUGGUGGUUAUUUCCGUUAUUUUCAUUAUUUUCGUUAUUAUUUCCGUUAUUUCCGUUUUGAUUUCCGUUAUUUCCAUUAUGAUGUCCGUUAUUUCCGUUAUUAUUUCCGUUAUGAUUUCCGUUAUUUUGUUUUUUUCUAUUAUUUCCGUUGUUUUUCUGGACCUGUCUCUUAAUUCUCUGCCGUAUGUUUCUGUCUCUCUGGAGGUUAUUUCCGUUAUUCUCAUUAUUUCCGUUAUUUCUGUUAUGAUUUCCGUUAUUUCCGUUACUAUUUCCAUUAUUUCGUUUUUUUCUGUUAUUUCCGUUCUUGUUCUUGACCUGUCACCUAAUUUUGUUCUUUAUGUUUCUGUCUCUGUGGAGGUUAUUUCCGUUAUUUUCGUUAUUUCCGUUAUGAUGUUUGAUAUUUCAGUUAUCAUUUCCGUUAUUUCCGUUAUUAUUUCUGUUAUUUCAUUUUUUUCUGUUAUUUCCGUUUUUAUUCUUGACCUGUCACCUAACUUUCUGCCGUAUGUUUCUGUCUCUCUGGAGGUUAUUUCCGUUAUUUCCGUUAUUUUUGUACUUUCCGUUCUUUCCGUUGAUGUUCUUGACCUGUCAUGUAUGACCGUAUGUUUCUGUCUCUCUGGAGGUUAUUUCGGUUAUUUUUGAUAUUUCCGUUAUUUCCAAUCUUGUUCUUGGCCUGUCACCUAAUUUUCUGCUUUAUGGUUCUGUCUCUGUGGAGGUUAUUUCCUUUAUUUUCGUUUUUUUCCGUUAUGAUGUACGUUAUUUCUGUUAUGAUUUCCGUUAUUUAGGUUAUGAUUUCCGUUAUUUCGUUUUUUUCUGUUAUUUCCGUUUUUGUUCUUGACCUGUCACCUAACUUUCUGCCGUAUGUUUCUAUCUCUCUGGGGGUUAUUUCCGUUCUUUCCGUUCUUUCCGUUAUUUUUGUUCUUUCUGUUCUUUCCGUUGUUGUUCUUGACCUGUCACGUAACUUUCUGCUGUGUAUUUCUGUCUCUCUGGAGGUUAUUUCCGUUAUUUCCGUUAUUUCCGUUAUUUUUGUUGUUGUUCUUGACCUUUCACCUAAUUUUCUGCCAUAUGUUUCCAACUUUGUGGUGGUUAUUUCCGUUAUUUCUGUUAUUUCCGUUAUUUCCGUUGUUGUUCUUGACCUGUCACCUACUUUUCUGCCAUAUGUUUCUGUCUCUGUGGAGGUUAUUUCCUUUAUUUCAGUUAUUUCCGUUAUUUUCCUUACUUCCGUUAUUUUCAUUAUUUCAGUUAUUUUCGUUAUUUCCGUUGUUGUUUUUGGGCAGUCACCUAAUUUUCUGCCGUAUGUUUCUGUCUCUCUGGAGGUUAUUUCCUUUAUUUCCGUGAUUACCGUUGUUGUUUUUGCCCUGUCACCUAAUUUUCUGCCGUAUGUUUCUGUCUCUCUGGAGUUUAUUUCCGUUAUUAUUUCUGUUAUUUUCGUUAUGAUUUCUGUUAGUUCCGUUAUGAUUUCCGUAAUUUCCAUUAUGAUUUCUGUUAUUUCGGAUUUUCUGUUAUUUCCGUUUUUGUUCUUGACCUGACACCUAAUUUUCUGCCGUAUGUUUCUGUCUCUGUGGAGGUUAUUUCCGUUAUUUCCGUUAUUUCCGUUGUUUCCAUUAUUUCCAUUAUUUCAGUUAUUUCCAUUGUUGUUCUUGACCUGUCACGACAUUUUCUGCCAUAUGUUUCUGUCUCUGUGUAGUUUAUUUCCGUUAUUUCCAUUAUUUCCGUUAUUUUUGUUUUUUCCGAUAUUUGUGUCUCUGUAAAGGUUCUUUUCUUUUUUUCCGUUCUUUUUGUUCUUUCCGUUGUUGUUCUUGACCUGUCACCUAAUUUUCUGCUGUAUGUUUCUGUCGCUCUGCAGGUUUGUUCCAUUAUUUCCGUUAUUUCUGUUGUUCUUCUUGACUUGUCAUCGAAUUUUCUGCCGUAUGUUUCUGUCACUGUGGAAUUUAUUACUGUUCUUUCCGUUCUUUCCGUUCUUUCCGUUGUUGUUCUUGACCAGUCACC